UGUGAUUAGGCUACCUUUCCAGUGGGACUGGGGCACCAACCCAGCUACCAAACAUUUGACAGCCUGUCCUGUCUGCAAGAUGUAUAGGGCCAAGGAUGGCAGAGAACUUGUAGGAGUGGCCAGCCCAUGACUGGUCUAACUUGAAGCCCAUGCCACAAGAUGGAGCCCAUGCCUGACCCUGCCUGGAUGACUGGGAUCCAGAAGCUGGAUGGUCCAGAGACCUAGGGUGGAACUAAAUAGGACUGGCAAAACAAACAAAACAAAACAAAACACAACAACAAAAAAGGCGAUGAAAUGAUUGCUAAUAAUAUUCUGCUAUACUCAUAGAUUGCUGUGUAGCCCAAUCCUCAUUAGAAAGGCCUCCUCUGGCAGCUGAUCGGAGCUGAUGCAGAGGCCCACAGUCAGACACUAGUCAAAGCUCACAUAACCAAAGAAGACAGGAGGAGAGAUUGGAGGAGCUGGAGGAGUGGAGGACACCAGAAGACCACAGUCCACAGGAUCAGCUAAUCAGGGCUCAUGGGGGCUCACAGAGGCUGACGCGCCAAUCAUGGAGCUUGCAUGUAUGUUUUGGUUGUUUACCUUGGGGUUUUUGUGGGGUUCCUAACAGUGGGAGUGGGAGCUGCCUCUAUUUUGCCUGUUCCUGGGACUCUUUUCCUCCUACUGUGUUGCCUUGUCCAGCCUUGGUAGGAGGGCUUGUGCCUUGUCUUAUUGUAAAUUAUCAGGCUGCAUUUGGUUGACAUCCCUGGGAGGUCUGCUUACUUUUGAAGGGAAAUGAAGGAGGAGUGGAUCUGGGGAAAAGGUGGGAAGAGUGGGGUCGGGUCCAAUGUAUUGCAUAAGAGAAGAAUAAAUAAAUAAAAAGACUAAAAAAAGAGUAUUAUAAGCAACCAUACAGAAAACAUUGGGAUAUCCUGGAUGAAGUGAAUAAAUUCCCAGGAAGACAAACACAUUUGUUGUUGAAUGAUUAUAUUCAGUGAUGAUGUUUCAAGAUAAGGGCAACUUUUUAAAUAUGAUAAACGAAGAGAAUCAAGUCCAAAACAUUCAACUCAUGACUAAAGAUACUGGGACCAGGAAGGAGGACUCCUCUGUUAUAAAUGACAGUUCUCAAGGAUGGAGAAGUUCAACAAAGGCACCAAAUCCCCUGGACCUGGAGUCGCAGAUGGCUGUGAACCACAUUCGGAUGCUGGGAAUUGGACCUGGGCCCUCUGCAAGAGCAGCAAGUGUACUUGUUGAGUUUCUCUCACACCCCUAAAAUGAAAUUCUCAAUCAAAUCAUGAACUUUCCUAGUGAAAUAAACAGACCUUUCGUGACUUCAGUAGA